rnacentral:rRNA from 1 species
UACAGAGGGUGCAAGCGUUGUUCGGAAUUAUUGGGCGUAAAGGGCGCGUAGGCGGUGCGGUAAGUCUGCAGUGAAAUCUCUGGGCUCAACUCAGAGUCUGCUGUGGAAACUGCCGUGCUUGAGUGUGGGAGAGGUGAGUGGAAUUCCCGGUGUAGCGGUGAAAUGCGUAGAUAUCUGGAGGAACACCGGUGGCGAAGGCGGCAUCCUGGACCGGCAUUGACGCUGAGGCGCGAAAGCUAGGGGAGCAAACGGG